rnacentral:rRNA from 1 species
CCUACGGGAGGCAGCAGUGAGGAAUAUUGGUCAAUGGGCGCAAGCCUGAACCAGCCAAGUAGCGUGAGGGAUGACUGCCCUACGGGUUGUAAACUUCUUUUAUAAGGGAAUAAAGUGAGGCACGUGUGCCUUUUUGUAUAGACUUUAUGAAUAAGGAUCGGCUCACUCCGUGCCAGCAGCCGCGGUAAUACGGAGGGUCCGAGCGUUAUCCGCAUUUAUUGGGUUUAAAGGGAGAGUAGAUGGGUGGUUAAGUCAGUCGUGAAAUUUUCGGGCUCAACCGCAAACUUGCACUUGAUACUGGCAGCCUUGAGUACAGGUGAGGUAGGCGGAAUGCGUGGUGUAGCGGUGAAAUGCUUAGAUAUCACGAAGAACCCCGAUUGCGAAGGCAGCCUACUAACCUGCCACUGACACUGAGGCUCGAAAGUGCGGGUAUCAAACAGGAUUAGAUACCCUUGUAGUC